AACGAACGCUGGCGGCAUGCCUUACACAUGCAAGUCGAACGGUAACAGGUCUUCGGAUGCUGACGAGUGGCGAACGGGUGAGUAAUACAUCGGAACGUGCCUAGUAGUGGGGGAUAACUACUCGAGAGAGUGGCUAAUACCGCAUGAGAUCUACGGAUGAAAGCAGGGGAUCGCAAGACCUUGUGCUACUAGAGCGGCCGAUGGCAGAUUAGGUAGUUGGUGGGAUAAAAGCUUACCAAGCCGACGAUCUGUAGCUGGUCUGAGAGGACGAUCAGCCACACUGGGACUGAGACACGGCCCAGACUCCUACGGGAGGCAGCAGUGGGGAAUUUUGGACAAUGGGCGCAAGCCUGAUCCAGCAAUGCCGCGAGCAGGAUGAAGGCCUUCGGGUUGUAAACUGCUUUUGUACGGAACGAAAAGCCCUGGGUUAAUACCCUGGGGUCAUGACGGUACCGUAAGAAUAAGCACCGGCUAACUACGUGCCAGCCGCCGCGGUAACAC
rnacentral:rRNA from 1 species